rnacentral:lncRNA from 1 species
AACCCUAAGCUUUUUACUUUGUGUGAGUUGAUCAUGGACAGAUUUCUUCUUAAGGAAAUCACUGGAGAGACAUCAGCAAAUGACAUCAAGUCUGUCUCAUCUCCUGUCAUUCUUAAGGUGUUUUCUUCUUGGUUACUUGCAGUUAACUGGUCUUCCGCAUAGAUCAUCCAUGGGUUAGACCUGGGUCAGCUUUUUAGACUUAGAUAGGAGAAGGGCCUGCAGGAAGAUGAGACAAGGCUACGUUUCCAAAUUCACCACUGGUACCCAUGUGAGUGCAUCUAGAGAGAGAACACCUCACCCAAGAAGUAUGGUACAGACCUGGCCAAUAAUGGACAUCUCCACCUAUGUUCAGGAAAGACUUUUUUCUGGCUUUUUCCUACCAUUUCCAGAUGGUAAAAUAUUUCUAGUGCUGUGACAUAUUUAUUAUGACCCAAUCGUCUUGUCAAAUUCAUUGGUGGAUAAUUCCUAGAAAUCAGGGAAAGUCACCAAGUUGUAUUUACCUUCCCUUGACUGGUGGUAUUUCUAUCUUUGAUUCUUAGUACAGAGAAAGCAUGGAAUGAAGAGAAGUGAGUGUUCCUAUUGCUAGAAUCAUUUCAGAGGUGCACUACUAGGUACUUCGGGGAGUUCAAUUAAAAAAAGUUGAUGGAUCAAUAUGGAAGAAAAGGUAGAAGGUUAUUUGUAGUUAGGUACAUAUUAAGAAAUUGUACUUCCCUGAAUGAUGAGAGGAAUGAUGAUUAAAGGAAGAGGUGGAAUUUCCCGAAAUGGUGAAAUUCAUCUCUCAUCUGCCUUCCCCUUCUUUCCCCAUCCUGGCCCAUAGCACCAAGUCACUAGAAUUUAGGCAGCAUGUGGAAAAAGAAGUCCAUCUCUAAGGCAGAGUUGACUCGUUCAGCUUUCUCCUGUAUGGAGCAGUGGUGAUUCAUGCCUUCCUCCGCUGUCACACUGUCAGCAUCCGCUAAUCAUAGCCCCGUGAUCACAGGACUUGGGCACAUAAACAAUUUCCAGGAGGUUCAGAGCAGCCCAGGGACCUCGCAGGCAUAAACACCGGUUAUUCUGUAAUUCAUUACAUGCCCCUCCCCAUCAUCUUGACAUGUGCUUGAAAUAAUAGCUUUCCUUAAAACGUUUGAACAUGUUGGUGGACUAGAUCCUUUCACUGUCCUUGGUACACACAUUGUUGUCUUACUAAGUCUGCUUUUAAAUGGAACUCUUUGGCUGUCCUGCUGAAGCUCAGGGGGCGGGGGGAUGUGUUUCGUGAAGAAUAUCAAGAGGAUACAGUGAUGGGAUUUCAAACACAAAUUGGUUCUUCUUGUGCUUUGCAUGUAUAUGUUGUGAGAGGCGAGAGAGUGAGGCCCUUGAAUGCUAUUGUGAAGCAGACUGCAUAUAUUUGGUGCUUAAAUUUGUAUGUAUUUUUUUACACUAGUAAGUCAGGUCAUUUACCUCCCACUCUUCCUCAAACAGAUGUCUUUAGCAAACUUAAGUUCCUCCAGUCAGUCUGUUUAUUCAGCCUGAGGCAGGAAUCAAUAACUUCUAGUGACACUGACAGGAUUAGUUUCUAUAUUCAAUAAAUAUGUAUUUUUGAUUACCUACUGUGCCAUGCAUAACAAUAGACAUUGGAGAGUUUGCAGUUUCUGUUCCCAUAGGAUCUAGAAUUAAGAAACAUUUAUAUUUGAAACCACGAUUGUCCAGUGCCUACAGUAUCUGUUGGGUUGUUACAAAAAUGGCUGGUAGAUUUUAUAAAGUUUCUUAGUUAUAUUGAACUUCAAACAUAGAAGAAGAAAAUAUUAUCUGGUUCUUAUAUGUCUUAGCUGUGUGUCCUCAGUGAUUAGAAAAUGAGAAAGCUGUGUCUGUGUUGGCUCUUCCAGUGUCAAGUGUUAUCUUUACGAGGGAUUCUUAGCUGUAUAAGUUGUGUUUCAAAAUGAAGGCAAAAUUGCUAUACGUCAUCCCAAUAGACUAUGUAGGGAUUAAUGUUAUUCCUUUUUAUAGUCACAGGCUCAGCAUGUUUAGUUGAUUUAUCCAAAAUCAUUUAACUCUGUUGGUAUGGAGUAUAGGUUGCUAGAGCCUGGGUUUGAUCUCGUGAUAUAUUACUUUUACUUUUUCCUUUAUUCAUUAAUGAGAAUAGCAUCAAGUGUAAAGACAGGGCAAAUGUUUUGAUUUAGGAUCAUUUAUGGAACUUGAUGGAAUUUUAACUGUGCUUCCCACAUCACGCACAUGAAUCAAACUCUAAUAUAAUACCUAUGAGAAACAUCAGGCAGAAGAAUUUCUGAGGCAUUUAACUGUGAUUUUAGAAGUCAUUAUUUUUCCCUGAUUAUGCCUCCCCCCACCCCAUGUUCUGGGACCCACUCAUAGUUUUAACAAUACCUUCAAAAUCUGUUUGUCCUGAAUAGAUGAUUCACACAUACUCAGAUAUGAAAAUAAGGAAAUGUUGAAAUGUAUUAAUUAUUAGCAAUAUACAAAUUUAAAUAAUAGAAUAAUAGAAAAGAAAAUAUCCAAAAUUAAAACUCAGUAAUUAUUCUAAUGAAAUAUCUCUCUUAUUUUCCUGUUGGUAGUUUAAAUUAGGAUAAAUCCAUAGGAAAAUAGUUUGGCGCCAUCAGGAGCCAGCAAAAUGCUCUUUGACCUCAUAAUCCCCUUUCUGGGAAUCUAUCCUAAGGAGCAAUCCAAACUAUGGAGAAAGCUACACCCCUGAAACAGCAGAAACCGCAUAUGUGCCUAACAACAGGGGCAUAGUCAAUUAAUUCUCUCUCUCUUUUUUUUUUUUUGCUGGAUAGAAUGAAUGACCGUUAAAAAGACCAGUGUAGUGACAUGAUACAGUUACUGACAAUGCAAAAUUAAAAUACAUACAAAUUUGUCUUAUAAUUACAAAUAGAAAAGCAGAUGCACAGGGAAAAUAUAAAAAAUAAAAAAGCUAGAGGAAACUUACCCUAAUACCAAGAGAAGUUUAGCUAGGGUCAUGGGACUUCUUGGUGGUUUUUUUCUUUUUCUAUUUUCCAAAAUUUCAGUCAUGUUAUUUAUAUUACUUUUAUUCAAAUUCUUAAUAAAAAUAUGUCUAAUUGAGUUGUUCUCCACAGCUGUGUUGAAGCUGGCCGGUGGGUUUGGAAGUGAGUGGGAGGAAAGGGGUGGAGUUAGAGCCAGCAAGCAGAACCUGCCACAGAGAGGCCUGGCCUGUCCUCUUCACACAGCUGCCCACGGAGAGGGCCAGUUCCUGAGGGAAGUAUGUCUGCCAAAGCUCUGUAAAGACAUUUGUUAGCCGAAACUCUCACAAAGGUGACCUUUAUUCAUCUGCUUCUUCAUCUGAAAUACUGGAAUAAGAGGAUUUGUCCGAGUUCCUGGCAGCCUUGUUGCCAAGGCAAUGGUGGUAAUGCACAUGAACUUGCAUUGCGUGCCCUGUACCCCACUCUCUGUUAGUUGCUCUUGUUGUAAAAUAAUCCCAAUGGUAACAUUUGAAUCUUGGCU